CUUAUCACCUUUUUCUUUUUUUUUAGUAUUUUUAGAAAAUUUGAAAAACCUUAAGACUUUAUAAUUGUGCUUGAUAUCAUAUAGAUAUGUGAGACUUAUUUGAUGCUGAAGCAAAAGAAAACUAUAGUUGACUGACUACUCUUCUCUCUGUUUAUCUAUCUUUCGGAUCUUUUAGAUAACAUUUGAUUGUGGAAACCAGUUUAGUCUAGUAAUUUGGUUAAAGAUUUGUUAAUGUUUUUUAUAUUAAAAUCGGAGUUUCAGAUACAAGAAAAGAAUCAAAUAAUGAUACAAGAUUAAGAGAAAAAUGUUUAUAUAAAUCUUUUUUAAUAUGAUUAAAAGAGGAUCGUCAAAACGUAGAUUUUAUAGGACGGUUCAUAGUCGACUCGGUAGAGAAGGUGGUUAGUGCAACCGCCCAAACCUCCCCUAAAUCUACGAAUAUUAGAAGUCUUAAUUAUUUUCAUGAACACAUUUGAUUACAAAGUUUUCUAGUUUUUUUAUGGGUUUUUUUUAGUGGUAUAAAUAUUUAAGUUUUUUUUUUGUUUUGUGCAAAAAUGUUAAGUUAAACGGAACUAAAAAUAUAUUUAAAUUUUCAAACUGAUUUUUCAAAUAACAAAUGUGACAUGAAUAGUGACCAAUCCAUUUUUUACUAUCAAGUAUCAACACAUUCUUUUCAUAUGCCCUUUCUCAAAAAAAGAAAACACAUUCUUUUCAUUCACAAAGCUCUUCUAAAAAGAAUAAACAAUCCAUAGAAUCGUGAAUAUAUUUGUUGACCAUAAAGAAUCGUGAAAAUUGGGGUAAAAUUGUAGUCGCUUACGUUGGGCCUUACGACGCCUUUUAAGAAUCAUCAUUUUCAUAUUGGGUAACAUGUCGUCGUCUGAGUUAGGCCUUGUGAGGCUUUUAAGUAAAGCCCAUUGAUAUUACGUGACGUGAAAAAAAUUUAAAUCUCGUUUCACUUGUCAUCAACUCAUUUCAUUAUCAAAGGGAGACCAACACUCUAGAGAGAUUAGCCAACACAAUGCAUGAUGUUUAGUGUUUGUGAUUGUUGAUAAAAAAAAGACAUUUUCAUAAACUUUUUUCCUGAUAUCAAACUUAAAUGAUUCGUUAAAUAUGUUGAAGAAAAUAUCUCAUAUACAUAUGAAUAACAUAUAAAAAAUUUAGACCAAUGCAAUUAUCGCCAAUUGAUUUUUAAGUUAGAAAUCAAUUUUUUUAUAAAAAAAAUAGAUAAACUUUUUGAAGUUCUGAAAGGUUAAUUACAAUUUCUAUUUGAAUGUAACGAAUCAUAGCUAUAAAGUUUCCAUCAAAAACAAAUGAUUGUAAGAACUUUCAUAUUUGAAAGAAAUUCUAUAAAUCUUAUUCAAAUCAAACAUAUCACGAUCCAUUAUCCAGCCAAUACACACAUACACACACACCCACAUAUAUACUUAUACUGUUUAUUUGGUUGUUCAAGAAAAAAAAAAACUUAUACUGUCUGUAUUCGUAUGUAUGUCAGACUGUUAAUACGUGUGUGUUAUGUAUAAUAAAUGGAAGUGUGAAAUAUAAGAGCUGUGAGACGGUGACGGGAGAUGGGCCUUGUGGGCCCAGUAUUCACGUGACAGAUGUGAUGAUAGUGUAACGAGUUGGGGUCCAUGGGCCUUUAGAAGACGUUUCAAUCUCAACCGACCGCCGACGACUGGACCUUGAGAAUCGAGAUCUCGAUGGUGACCUAACCCACUCAACUCACUGACACGUCCCGUCGUUUAGCCAACACGUCAUAUGUAUUGGAGUGUACUGUAUCAAUUCACAAAAAUAGUAUUUUGUUGAUAUUUCCGUUUUUUCAUAGUUUUAUCAGAUUUUUUCGCCUUUUUAAGACAUUUUCUAUAGCUUUCAACGCUAAACAUAUUAUCCAUAACAAGAAUUCCAAUCAAUCUCAAUAGAUUCUUCAAACAUUCGAGAUUGAAAAUAGUUAGGUGCGUGAAUGUGUUUGCACUGUGCACAUGCAUAAUCGUGCAUUAUGCUUAACGCAUUACGCCACUACGCAUAUGUAUAGUAUCCGAAACUAGCAUGAGUAUUAUGGAUUCAAUAAUAAUGUUUGUGAUUAGUAUAGCCACCUCAUGUAAAAACGCAUGUGUUUUUUUUUUUUGCUAAAUAGAACGCAUGUGUGAUGAACAAUGUUCAUUCAUGACACCGAUGCAACGAUCUUAUUUUGAAAAAACUCGGUGAUCCAAUUGGUAUUUUUUUGUCAAGAUCCAAUUGGUAUUUAGUAUUUAUUUUUCUUCAACGACAAAAAAUUAUGUCAGUUAAUUAGACCACUGAAUUUUUCAAAUCAUUAUUCAAUGCAGACAUUAAAACGAUUUUGUUCAGAGGUGACUAGCUUAUAUAUACACAUCUAGGGCAAGCAUUUUACCAUAGUUAAUUUUCUUUGUUCUUUGUUUUUUUUUUCUGUUUUUGGUAACCAAGUGUUCUCUUCAGGUUGCCAAUUUUUUUUUUUUUGACAACAUCAACUAAAAACUAACUAGAAACUCCAACCGAUCUAGCAAGCCAAACCGGUGGGAUUGAAUCGACAUAAAGCAAAGCUGAAGGAGAACUCCUCGCACCGCGUGCAAGCUUGUCCGCCAAGAGAAAGCAGGCCAUUCAUCAGGUGUCGAUACCAUCUUUACCAGCUGAGAACAAUCCGUUGCAAACACUACGUCAGAAAAUUGGAGGGUCUUCAUGCAUUCCAUUGCCCAGAUUAGUGCUUCAAACUCAGCAUGCAAGGAUGACAAACUUCUACGAAGAUUCAUUGCCCCCAUCAUGACAUCAGUCGAUCCACUCUUUCUGCAAAACUAACCUUGUCCCGUAAAUAUGUCUUCCUCUUUCCAAGCUCCGUCAAUAUAACAAACUCUAGAAACUUCCAGGUCUAAAUCGGUUUAAAAUGAACGAUUUUCAGUAGGAUGCAACAAAUUAUGAUUUAUAUCUUCUUCUUUUAACAAUAAUUAUGAUUUAUAUCGGUUUUUCCUGUUAUAAGUUUGUGAUGGAUCUGCAGUUAAAUAUUAAAGUGAAUCAGUCGUCACUGAGAAGGAUUUUAAAAUAAAUAAUUUGAUUAGACAGAAAACACAUGAAGACAAGUUUUGCAUAUAAAGGACACUAUCUUUGCUUAAUUAGUGAUGCAUUUGAAUUUUGAUCAGUUGACAGUUUUAUUUUUUUAAUUGAUUUUAAAGAUACGAAUUUUGUAUUGUUGGAUUAAUUUCACGUCACAUAAUUUUCUUCAGUUAGCAUAUGAAUUUGUAUAAUAAUAACACAAUACCAACUACUUUAACAAAAAAAAAAAAACACGCGCAUAAUACCAACUCAUGUUAGACUGCGCGUUUUGGCCAUUUUUCUUCAAUGACUUGUGGGGGACAGUAUACAUCGGCAUAAUACGAUCAAAUGUUUUUGUUUUGAUAUUGUUGUUUUGACGAUGUAUAUUCGACGAUAACGUUAGACUUCAUGGUCGCUGUGCAUUCGUUGGUUCAUUAUACAUUUUUAAAAAAACAAUCAAACAAUUAGAUAAUUUAAGGAUUACAAUUUUUGUUGGUUAUCAAAAGUAACGAUCAACUAACAAAGAGACUAUGAUCUAGUGACCGACAUUUUAUGUUAUUUAUAUGAUCUAGACCGACAUUUUAUGUUAUUUACACUCAAACAAAUUAACAGUAUAACAUAUAGUUCACUGCUAUUGCUCAUCGCUGUCUUUGAUAAUAACAAAACAAACACUAUAGAUCAAUAUAGGUCAUUGUUAUCUAUUGCUCACCACUGUAUUUGUCCUGCAUCGAUAUCGCCAAUAGUAACAAAACUAACAGCAUACGUGACAUUUGAGUGAUGACCACUGGAUUACAUGUCACUAUUGUCGUGUUUGCAGUUUGCAUUUUGCACCCGACAUUUGCUUACCCACUUCAGUGGUCCUAUUUGCUCUUUCCACUAGAAUACUGGUCAAUUUCACAAUUUUCUGAAAAUAUUCGUAUAUCAUCAAACUGUUCACGAUAUGAAACCAUGAGAUUUCAAUUAAAGGUACCUUCAAAGUCGGAGAUACGGUGGAGAGACACAGGUUUCGACAAUUCAAAUCUGGAUCGACUCUUCUAUCUGGUGAAUAUUAUAGAAAAUUUGGGAGAUUGAUCUGUUUUUCCAAUGGAAUCCGCUCAUUUUAUUUAUAUAUCUUCUAUUAAAAGAAAAAUACAAUUUUUAUUUACUAUAAAAGUCAUAUUAGAUCCAUUUCAUCAAUUACAUCUAUAUGAUUAUCAAAUUAAUCUAUUAAAUAUAUAAUAAUUAUAAAAUAUCUUAAUAAUUAUAAGAAUAUUAAUAAUAAAUCAAUUUUAAUUGUAAAUUUAAAAUUUACUGUUGAGAAAAAAAUCUAAUAAAAGCUUACUAAAAAUUUAUUUUUUUCUUUUAAAAUUAAUGCAUUGAUUAAUUUCGUGAUUAUAUAUACUAUUAUAAAUUAAUGUUAACUAAAAUUUUAGUAUUAAACAAAAAUAAAAUUCUAUGCUAUUUUUAUAGAUUUUAUAAUCAUAGUCUAUAUUAUAUUAAAACAGAAGUAAGAUAUAAAUUAAAUAUAAAAAUUAUAUUAAAUAUUUUUCCAAAUUUUUAGUUGAUAGAGAAUCAAAGUCAAGUAGACUUACCAAAGAAUAACAAAUAAACAUAUUUAAAAAAAUCGUUUAAUAACUAAAUAAAAUAUCAUUCACCAUUUCAAAGGAUUAAAAUUCAUAAAUUAUGUAAUAAUUUUAUAAAAAAAAUAAAUUUUUUAUAUAGGUUAAACUUUUAUAUCUAUAACUAUAUAUUAUUUAUUUAUGAAUCAUGAAAAUUAAAAAUAUUUUGAAUUAGAUUUUCUAUUUGAUUAUUUCAUAUUAUGAAUUUAGUAUACGGAACUCAAAAACAUAUUAGUAUGUAAUAAUAAUUAAUAACAAUGUAAAAUAUACAAAAACAAAUAUUUAUAUAUUAAUAAUCUCUAAUAAGAAACAUAAUCAAUAAAAUUAUAAAAUUACACAAUAUAUAACAGUAAAAUAUAAAUCGUGAAAAUAUAUGCAAUAAUAUUAAAAUUAUACAUUGAUGAAAUAAAAAAAUUUAUCCCCACAGAAGUGUCGGUUAAAGUCUAGUUAGAUCUUGGUUUUGAGUUGAUUAUUCUUAUCCACAUUCUCAAGAGCCGCAAUUAGUGUAUAGAUUUCUUAACAAAAUAGUUAUAAGACAACACAUUUUCUUUUUCACACGAAUCAAAUAGAAUCAGAUGAAAGUGUUCUACGAACGUUGAUAUCAUAUAUCAAACUUGAUUUAAUAAAAUGAGUUGUUGACAAAAAAAAUGUUCAAAUUGUCGUACUGUGAGCGACGAUUAUAUAUUUCAGUAGGUUCACAUUUUCUCCAAGAGUAAGAAUAAGUUACCUGAACGAGAUUCAGUUUAUCCUCCAAUAUGACUUGAGUAUACUAUGCAAAUACAGCUUAAACUAGUUGGGAAUUAUCUAUCAUUAUAUUACUUUCACGUUUUGAUGUUAAAUAUUUGUGGCAAUUUAAAAGCUAAAAAUAUUUAACAUUGUUUUAUAUAACAUAAGAUUUUAAUUAUUCUAUUUGGGUUUGCGUUUGCUUAUGCUUUUGUAAUAUACAAAUGUUUUGAGCUUGAUCAUAAACUCUUUACGAUUUUAUAAGUUACAUUUUUGUUGUUUUAGAAGCGUUUAUGAUUUCUUCGUCGAAAAAAAAAGAUUUCUUCAUCGGCUAAAUUAUUCAUGGUUCGAUACUUCGAUUUGUAUAAAUAUUUAGUUUUAAUUAUUGUCGGCAUGAAAUUACACAGUUGCAAAUAAAACCCUAUGGUGUAAAUU